rnacentral:lncRNA from 1 species
CUUGACAGAAGAUUUAGGGCUUGGAGAUAGUUUAGGUUGGACUGUUAUCAGUAACCAACAAAAGGUAAACUUCAAUCAUUAUCUUAUACAUGAACAUCAUGCUUACCUUUUGAUCAUCAUACUCUUUUAUUAUUGUAUGUUAUAUGUAGGGAUUAAUUCAAUCAAUCAGUGAUCUGCUGCCACAUGCUAAGCACAGGCAUGUGCAAGGUACAUAUA